rnacentral:ribozyme from 16 species
AUUUGGUUUUUCUUUACUCUCUUUUUUUUACUUUUUUUUACUUUUCCGCUUUUAAUU